AAAAUAAAAAAUAAAAAUUACAAAUCACACAAUAAUAAAAAAGCAAAUAGAAAUUAUGCCAUUUAAAAAAUGAAAACAAACAUGGUCAAUCAUAUUGCAUUUACAAGGUAGAAUAUUGGCCCAUACAAUUUAAAAAAAUUUGAAUCUUCAAUCUCAUGCAUAUUUUUAAAAAGACAAUAAAAAUAAAAUAAAAACAUCAAGCACAUGCAAUCCUCUAUCAAAAUAUUAAACUAAAUGUAAUAGAAAGUGAGGAAAGAAAUAUC
rnacentral:lncRNA from 1 species